AAGCUCGGNCCUUAGGGAAAGAGCGCAUUUAUUAGACCAAAACCAAUCAAGCNUCGGCUUGUGUUUUGGUGACUCUGAAUAACUAAGUUGAUCGCACAGUCUUAGUACUGGCGACGUAUCUUUCAAAUGUCUGCCUUAUCAACUUUCGAUGGUAGGUUAUACGCCUACCAUGGUUAUAACGGGUAACGGAGAAUAAGGGUUCGACUCCGGAGAGGGAGCCUGAGAAAUGGCUACCACAUCCAAGGAAGGCAGCAGGCGCGCAAAUUACCCAAUCCCAGAACGGGGAGGUAGUGACGAAAAAUAACGAGACAGUCCACUAUGUGGCCUGUCAUCGGAAUGGGUACAAUUUAAAAACUU
rnacentral:rRNA from 1 species